rnacentral:tRNA from 1 species
GCAGGAAGAGCUCAGUGGGAGAGCGCAUGCUUGGCAUGCGUGAAGUCCUAGGUUCAACCCCCAGCACCUGCA